UCCCGUUGAUCCUGCGGGAGGCUGUUGUUAUUGGGAUUCGACUAAGCCAUGCAAGUCAAGGGGUCCUUCGGGACACCGGCAAACUGCUCAGUAACACGUCGAUAAUCUAACUUUGGGUCCGGGAUAACCUUGGGAAACUGAGGCUAACACCGGAUAGGGGAACUGCUCUGGAAUGACUUUUUCCUUUAAAAGCAAUGCCCAAAGAUGAGUCGGCGGCCGAUUAGGUUGUUGGCGGGGUAAUGGCCCACCAAGCCUAAGAUCGGUAGGGGCCUUGAGAGAGGUAGCCUCGAGAAGGGCGCUGAGACACUUGCCCUAGCCCUAAGGGGUGCAGCAGGCGCGAAACCUUUACAAUGCACGAAAGUGUGAUAAGGGAAUCCCAAGUGCCAAUGUUCAACAUUGGCUUUUUCUAAGAUUAGGAAUCUUGGAGAAUAAGUGGUGGGAAAGACUGGUGCCAGCCGCCGCGGUAACACCAGCGCCACAAAUGGGAGCCGUUUUUAUUUGGCCUAAAGCGUCCGUAGCCGGUCUGUUAAAUCUCUUGUGAAAUUGUGAGGCCUAACCUUACAACGUGCAGGAGAGACUGGCAGACUAGGGACCAGGAGGGGUCAGAAGUAUUUUUGGGGGAGCGGUAAAAUGCUAUAAUCCCUUAAAGACUGCCUGUGGCGAAGGCGUCUGACCAUAAUGGAUCCGACGGUGAGGGACGAAAGCCAGGGGAGCAAACCGGAUUAGAUACCCGAGUAGUCCUGGCCGUAAACGCUGCGUGCUAGGUGUUGCAUAUUCUCAGUGAAUAUGCAGUGUCGAAGUGAAGACGUUAAGCUCGCCGCCUGGGAAGUAUGGUCGCAAGACUGAAACUUAAAGGAAUUGGCGGGGGAGCACUACAAGGGGUGCGGCGUGCGGUUUAAUCUAACUCAACGCAGAGAAUCUCACCAGGAGCGACGGCAGGAUGAAAGUCAGGCUGAAGGUCUUACUUGACGAGCCGAGAGGUAGUGCAUGGCCGCCGUCAGCUCAUGCCGUAAGGUGUCCUCUUAAGCGAGGCAACGAGCGAGACCUGUACCUACAAUUGCUAACAACUCUAUCAGAGGAUUGAGCACAUUGUAGGGACUGCCUUGGAAACAAGGAGGAAGGUGCAGGCUACGGUAGGUCUGUAUGCUCCGAAUCUUCUGGGCUACACGCGCGCAACAAUGGUAGGGACAAUGGGAUACAACUCCGAAAGGAGAAGUUAAACCUCUAAACCCUAUCCAAGUCCAGAUUGAGGGCUGUAACCCGCCCUCAUGACGAUGGAAUCCCUAGUAAUCAGGUCUUAUCAUGGCCCGGUGAGUAUGUCCCUGCUCCUUGCACACACCGCCCGUCAAACCAACCGAGCAGGGUUUGGAUGAGUCUUGGUCUCUUAACCAAGCCGAAUCUAAGCUCAGUGAGGUGGGUUAAGUCGUCACAAGGUA
rnacentral:rRNA from 1 species